AGAGGUCACAAAUUCAAGGCCAAAGCAGAAGUGUUCACGGUGCAGCCCUAUCAGGUUCCAAACAAAUCUGUUAAUUCUGCU
rnacentral:ribozyme from 1 species